UCUUUGGGCCGGCCUUUUUAUUUCCUGUUCGCUGCCCCCCUUCCUCCCUCGACCGCUUCGUUCGUUCUCUACAACGAAGCUUUCCCUUCCUCCCUCGUGCCUGGAUCCCCUUUAUCUCCGUCGUUCGGCCGCUUUUUCACCUGCUUUCUUCCUCAGGAAUCCUACUCCAGCAAGAGACCGCUGCCCUCGUCGUCGGUAUCUCCGGCGUCGGCGUCGGCGUCGGCGUCGUCUAGGGUUCCGACAAGGUCGGCGUCGUGUAGGGUUCCGUCAAGGUCAGCUCGUCUAGGUCCCCAUCAAGCUUCAUCAAGCUCGGCGUCGACAAGGUAAACACGCCCAAAUUCCCCUGUUAUGGACCUUGCUCGGCGUCGACAAGGUCCAUCCCCGUACGUGUCGCUCUGCGGCGCCACUUGCACCGACACUCCCAUCUGGCUGUGUUCACCCCUUUGCCAGCGGCAGGUGCGACGGGCGGAGGCGGCGGCGACGGGGGGAGUGGAGCUCAUUUGGAUUGUAAAUCAGAAGCAUUCCGAGCUUGAUUGCCGCUUUGGAAGGUAGCAAGUCUUGUUCCCUAAAAAAAGUCUCUACGUACUAUACAAUACUGAAUUCUCUCACAAAGAAAGUUCUGAAAUGAGGCAUGUAAGUAGCAAGCUGAAUUCAGAUCCCAUCCGACAUGCACAUGACAUGCCGUGAUGAAUGAUGAUGCUUGUGUGAUGAACUGCGCAACCAGGCCAGCUUUCUUUUCAUACUCUGUAACCUGUCUCAUGUUUUGGUCUGAAUUAUGUCCACUUUCUGAAUUUGUUUCUGAUUUUUGAAUGUGUUGCGUUUGUUCUUCUGCAGUCCAUCCUGCACAGGAGGGUAGGCGCAGACAUGAGGCUCGAGGGCUACUACCGCGUAUGGCCGGACCCGUGGACAAGCAGCGGUGUGACUCAGGAAUUUUAUUUCUUUAGUAUCUUAGAAACUACAAAGGUCUCAGAAUCUAGGGUUUCUCUAAUGAUGAUCUACAAGGUCUACGUGAGAAAUUGCUUUUCGAGAUUGUCACUUGCAAGGACAAUGAAAUUCAACUACAAUUUGUAACUUCUUUCCUGCAGAGACAUGUAUUAAAAUCCCUACUUCUAUUAAACGCAAGUACAACGGACCAUAAUUUCUCUGGUAGACACUUGUUUUCGUUGGUGCGUAGGUUGUAAUUAAUUUCAAAUUAUUUCUGCUUCAAUAGGGUUUCCGCAUGUUCAAAUAAAGAUUUCAAGGGUCCCAAUGCAACAAUUUCCAACUCAAAGGAAUAGUACCGUGAGGGAACUCUUCUGUUGUUUCUUUAUCAGUUAUAAAGAAGGUUUCCCAAUGAAACUGUUCUGCUGGUUCCCCAAUGAUAGUUGUGGCAUUACUUUCAGUUGUAAAGAAGGUCUAAGGCUGCAGAAUAAGUUUGUAAAGAAGCUCAAACAUGCUUCUAUACUCAUACUUUUCUUGGAUUUUCAACUGUUUUAACAAGCAGCUAAAACAACAAAAAUCUUCUG